CUGGAGUAUAAUUUAAACUGACCGAGUGACUUAUAUUAUGAAUUGACACAAUGUAAUUUCUGUCCAGUGCUCUGAAUGUCAAAGUGAAGAAAUUCAGUGAAACAGUGGGUGUAACCAUGACUCUCUUAAGGUAGCCAAAUGACUCAUCAUCUUUUUAAAACCAAAAACCAAACCCAUUGCCCUUGAGUCAAUUCCGACUCCUAGCAACCCUGUGGGACAGAGCAGAACCGCGCCAUAGGGUUUCCAAGGAGUAGGUGGUGGAUUUGAACUGCCGAUGUUUUGGUUAGCAGUCGGACCUUAACUACUGCCAUCAGGGCUCCACGUAAUUAGGGACGUGCAUAAAUCCAUGAACGAG
rnacentral:ncRNA from 1 species